CGAACGCGUCUCCGUUAAUGAUUUUAGGUGCUUGCACUUGAAAGAUUUAACAUUGAGACGAGUGGCGAACUGGUGAGUAACACGUGGGUAACCUGCCCUUGAAGUAGGGGAUAACACUUGGAAACAGGUGCUAAUACCGUAUAACAACCAAAACCACCUGGUUUUGGUUUAAAAGACGGCUUCGGCUGUCACUUUAGGAUGGACCCGCGGCGUAUUAGCUUGUUGGUAAGGUAACGGCUUACCAAGGCGAUGAUACGUAGCCGACCUGAGAGGGUAAUCGGCCACAUUGGGACUGAGACACGGCCCAAACUCCUACGGGAGGCAGCAGUAGGGAAUCUUCCACAAUGGACGAAAGUCUGAUGGAGCAACGCCGCGUGAGUGAUGAAGGGUUUCGGCUCGUAAAACUCUGUUGUUGGAGAAGAACAGGUGUCAGAGUAACUGUUGACAUCUUGACGGUAUCCAACCAGAAAGCCACGGCUAACUACGUGCCAGCAGCCGCGGUAAUACGUAGGUGGCAAGCGUUGUCCGGAUUUAUUGGGCGUAAAGCGAGCGCAGGCGGUUUUUUAGGUCUGAUGUGAAAGCCUUCGGCUUAACCGGAGAAGUGCAUCGGAAACCGGGAGACUUGAGUGCAGAAGAGGACAGUGGAACUCCAUGUGUAGCGGUGAAAUGCGUAGAUAUAUGGAAGAACACCAGUGGCGAAGGCGGCUGUCUGGUCUGUAACUGACGCUGAGGCUCGAAAGCAUGGGUAGCGAACAGGAUUAGAUACCCUGGUAGUCC
rnacentral:rRNA from 1 species